rnacentral:piRNA from 1 species
UAGUGAUGUCAGGCUCUGACAAGUAUUU